rnacentral:rRNA from 1 species
ACGGGAGGCAGCAGUGGGGAAUAUUGGGCAAUGGGCGAAAGCCUGACCCAGCGACGCCGCGUGAGGGAAGACGGUCUUCGGAUUGUAAACCUCUUUCAGCAGGGAAGAAGAAAGUGACGGUACCUGCAGAAGAAGUCACGGCUAACUACGUGCCAGCAGCCGCGGUAAUACGUAGGUGGCGAGCGUUAUCCGGAAUUACUGGGUGUAAAGGGUGUGUAGGCGGGGAAGCAAGUCAGGUGUGAAAAUUUUGGGCUCAACCCAGGACGUGCACUUGAAACUGUUUUUCUUGAGAGUGGGAGAGGUAAACGGAAUUCCUGGUGUAGUAGCGAAAUGCGUAGAUAUCAGGAGGAACACCGGUGGCGAAGGUGGUUUACUGGACCACAACUGACGCUGAGACACGAAAGCGUGGGGAGCAAACAGGAUUAGAUACCCUGGUA